UACAUGGGGUGCAAACGUUGCUCGGAAUUAUUGGGCGUAAAGCGCACGUAGGCGGCCCUGUAAGUCCGUUGUGAAAGUCAAAGGCUCAACCUUUGAAUGCCGAUGGAUACUGCAGGGCUAGAGUCCGGAAGAGGCGAGUGGAAUUCCUAGUGUAGAGGUGAAAUUCGUAGAUAUUCGGAAGAACACCAGUGGCGAAGGCGGCUCACUGGACCGGUAUUGACGCUGAGGUGCGAAAGCGUGGGGAGCAAACAGGG
rnacentral:rRNA from 1 species